rnacentral:lncRNA from 1 species
GAAGGAAGGAAGGAAGGAAGGAAGGAAGGAAGGAAGGAAGGGAAAGAAAGAAAGAAAGAAAGAAAGAAAGAAAGAAAGAAAGAAAGAAAGAAAGAAAGAAAGAAAGAAAGAAAGAAAGAAAGAAAGAAAGAAAGAAAGAAAGAAAGAAAGAAAGAAAGAAAGAAAGAGAAAGAAAGAAAGAAAGAAAGAAAGAAAGAAAGAAAAGAGGAAGGGAAAGAAAGAAAGGGAAAGAAUGAAAGAGAAAAAGAGAAAGAAAGAAGGAAAACAAUAAAAAGAAAAGAAAAAAGGGAAAAGGAGAAUAAAAGGAAAUGAGUAAGAGAAAGAGAAAGAGAACAAUAUUUGUGAUUCUAUGAUUUUGUGGAAAAGGGAGAAAAAAGAGAAGGAAGGAAGGGAGGUAGGAGGGAAGGAAGGAAGGAAGGAAGGAAGAAGAAAAGAAAAAAGAAAGAAAGAGAAAUAAGAGAAAAAAGAGAGAAAAAAGAGAAAAAGAAAAAAAAAAGGAAAAUGGAGAUGAAGCAAAGCAAAAAGGAAAGAAAAAAUAGGAUAAAAAAAGGAAACAAACAAAAAGAAUAUUUCAGUCUUUCACUCCCAAAUCCAUUUGUAGGGCAGAGUAACCUAUUUUCCAGUAAAGAUCCCACAAACCACAUUUUGCUAUUAAAAGUCUGUUUCAUCCGCUGGGAUGCAAACACUUUGUGCAGGAAAACACCACAUUCCCCGGGCGAGGAGGGCCGGGUGCUGCGGGUGGGAGCUGUGCUCCAAGUUGUGCUGCGAACCGCGCGGCACCGUCCGGCCACCGUGGGGAUGAAUGGGGCCGGCACCCCAUCGGGGUGUGAGUUUAGCAAAGUGAGAGCCCCGGCAAAUGCAGAAGGAAGGCCGUGCAGCCCUUACGACAGAAGUGUUUUCCUUCCACAGCUGGUGGGACCUCUGUGCGUAGGACUGGAGAGCCCCAAAGAGAAUCCAAUUUUCCAUCUGAUCUUGGAGACGAGGAGAUGAGGGUGCCGAGGGAAGAACGUGCUCUUCCAACACCUCUGGGAGGAAGGGAUGCUCCACACAAAAGCAGAAGUUUCUUUCAGAGUUCAGUUAAGACCUGUUUGUGGGAGGCUGUAAGCACCAUCACUGAUCUACAAGUAAAUGAGAGGGCUCUAAUGCCUGCCGAGCAUCCUGGAUCAUUUGACUUUUAAGGCUUGAAAGGACCUGGGACUGCUGAUAGAGGAGGGCAAAAUUGUUUCAUUCUUUGAAUGCAAUCUGAAGCCUCUCCAAAGCAUUAAGUACCACCAUAGGGUUAAAAAAAACCCCAUCUCGGAAGUCAGUCUGCAGAUUUCUGCCAUGGAAGACAGAAAGCACGAGCUUCAGUGCUGCAGAGCCAGGUUUCACAUGCCAAGGCUGUAAGAGCAUUUUACAGCUCCAGUGAGCAAACAGCACUACACCUGAUGACACAGGAGGUGAUGUCUGUCUGGUUACUUACACGCCGAAGUCUGAUUCAGUCCUUCAGGGGAACUCAGGCUGGGAAAUAUGGAACGCUGGGGACUGAAAGGUAGCCAGGAGAAACAGGCAGUGCUUGUGCCAGAGCAGGCAGGGCAGGGCUCACAGCAGGGCUGCACAGAACACUGGAUUACUCUCUGUAAGCACUGACACCCAGGCAAUCCUCACUGCCUUCCGCCUGAAGUACACAGAUGAAUCUUGGGCAUCUGGAUAGUAAAUGACAGAGAUAAGGAAGACACAUAUAUAAAGGAACUAACAAACUUGUUACGCUACAGAGCUCAUCACGCUGAGAUGUGUCCAGGACUUCUCUGAUUGAAUCAUAGAAACAAUCAUCAUAGAACCAUUUGUGUUGGAAGAUACCCUUAAAGGCCAUCUGGUCCAACUCCCUGCAAUGAAGAGGGACACCUACAGCUCCAUCAGGUGCUCAGAGCCAUGUCCAGCCUGACCUUGGGUGUCUCCAGGGAUGGGGCAUCCACCACCUCUCUGGGCAACGUGUGCCAAUGCUUCAACACAUUUAUUGUAAAAAACUCCUUUCUUUUAUGCAGUCUUAGUCUCCCCUCUUUUAGUCUGCAACCAUUUCUCCUUGUCCUGUCACAGAGACCCUGCUGAAGAGUCUGUCCCCUUCCUUCUUACAGCCCCUUUAGAUACUGAAAGGCCGCUAUCAGGUCUCCCCAGAGACGUCUCCAGGAAAUUUUAUUUUUAUUAAAACAAUUUUCUCUAUAUAUUAUUUGAUCCUGCAGUGUGACAGUUCCCAAUCCAUGGCAGAACUCAGGCUGUAAGGUGUUUGCUGUGGGGUAAUGACAUCAAGCUGGCCUACGGGCAGACAACCUUAUGGAGAGCUGCACAUUGCACAGGAGUUGCAAGCUACAGACUGGAACAACAGAGAACUGCAAAGCACACCUGCCCCUGGAUUAUGGAAGUGAUUUCAUGCUACCUGUCCAGAACAAAUAAAGUUGUAGUGUGCAAAGGAAGGGAAGACUGGAAGUGGGAAGCCUACAAAUACAGUUUUACUUCCAAUUUCACCUCCCAUAAGGCAUUUGCCUCUACGAACAAUUUCCUUUGAAGCCAAAGUGGUAAUUCCGUUGAAUCCAACAAGGGCUGACUUGAGCCCCAUCAACUUGAGAACUGGCAUUCUCACCCAUGGUAACGGUGCUCUGUCUCUACUGGGAAGCGGAACAUAAAUGUUUGCUAUCUCCAGGUACCUUGACCUGAACAGAUGGGACCAUGCAGAGUAAAAGCAAAUUCUUCCCCUUCUUGAGGAAGGGAAGCUGUGUGGAAGUGAAAUAUCUGCUUGCUUUGGACUUUUCACUAAAGGACGAUGUAAAUGGGGGCACCUCAUAAAAUGCAAAUAUAACUUCUGAGUAAGGGGAAGAAGGGUUUGACUGUAUAGUCUUUCUGGAAACAAUUCCGGCAGAGGAUUAGGAGCUAUGGAUGGUAUUUCCAUAAGCCCUUGUUUUUGGCCUGACGAUGACUCCCAGAGAAGCUGAUGGUAAAUCUGCCAUUGUAUCCAAGAGGAACAGACUUGAGACAGCACUGAGCAAACUGAAGAUCCCAGCCUUUGACUCAGAAGUGUAAAUAUUUUGCCUUUAUAAGCAGAGAUUAGUAAAUUCAGGGACGUUAUUCAAAAUGCAAUUUGGUAGCUGCUUCGCUGAGCACUGUCCAUACACACUGAGCAUACUUAUCUCCCACGGCUUUAAGACGGCUCCGUGUUGUUAAGGAACAAGGAAAUAAAUCACAAAAGCGACAGCGAUCGGUGUCGUGGCGGAUAAUCUCUGCACAAAGGGGACAAACGGGUCACAGACGCAUUAUUCCCUUUGCGCCCCUGGGGAGGGCCCCCCAGGAAGGGUGCGUGGCUGUUGGGGUGGGUGCUAGGAGGUGCAGGCCCUGCUCCUGGCACAGGGGCCCGCUGCUGCCUGAGAGCUGCUAGCUCUGGCCUUGCGUGUUGCCCGUGUGCUGUUUCCAAAGCUGUUGGAAACCAGAGUUGGGGAGGAACAUAAAUCCAUGUUCGUGUCCAAAGUCAGAAAUAUUACUUCGUACGGAUGGAGUUUAAUCCACUCAGUAGAAAAGUCCCUGACUGAAAAGGUAUCCAAUAAAGAUGUUCAGAGCUGCUUAACUGAGUCCGAGAGGGGAUUUUUGCAGUUUUUUAUUCAAUGUAUGUAGUGAGGAAUAAUGAUCAGGAGAUGAGUGCAACCUAUCUUAGCUUGUAGCUG